UUUAGCUCUCCCAAAUAUUAACUCUGAACAUUCUUUUUGUUCGAUAGGUGUAAAAGGUUCACGUUGCACGAAGUAAAUAUUUCGAAAAAAGUUCAUUCAUCUUCAAAAAUGUCCCAUCAAUACACAUUCAUACACCAAUACAUAUUUCACCAUAUCCCACCAACGCUCAAUACAUCCAUAGACCACAUCCUUACAAAACAUCACAAUCCCUCAACGCUCAAUACAUCUAUAGACCACACCUAUACAUCACACCAGAAUCCCUCAACGCUCAAUACAUCCUCAGACCGCAUUCAUACAGCACACCACAAUCCCUCAACGCUAAAUACAUCCCUAGACCACACUCAUACAACACACCACAAUCCCGUAUAGUGAGUUAUUCCAGCUGUAGUUUGCAUUGGGAAAGCAACAUAUCAUUACAACACGUGAGUCGCACAUGCAACAAAUGAAAACCGACGCACCUGAGAUCAAAGUCAGCACAUGGACGCAAAGUGACGACGCCUCAUCACACGAACGCUGGGAAACGACAGCUUGAGAUAUACGCAACGACAGAGAAGGAAGAAUUCGGAUUUCAAAAACGACCAAUCAGCGCGUUUCCAAGAUGUUGUGACGUGGAAUAUUUUUCACCAAUCAGACUUGUCAUUGCUCCGAGAAUCGCGACUAGUUUGAGUGUGAACUGGGAAUGUGUUUAUGGAUUUUGUGGGAUAUAAAAUGUGAACUGUGAAUGCGUUUGGGGAUUUUGGGGGAUAUAAAAUAUGAACUGUGAAUGUGUCAGGGAUUUUGGGGGAUAUAAAAUGUGAACUGGAAAUGUGUUUAGGGAUUUUGGGGGAUAUAAAAUGUGAACUGGGAAUGUGUUUGGGGAUUUUGGGGGUGUAAAAUAUGAACUGGGGAUAUGUUUGGGGAUUUUUAGGGUGUAAAAUAGGAACUGGAAAUGUGUUGUGGGAUUUUGGGGGAUAUAAAGUGUGAACUGGGAAUGUGUUUGUGGAUUUUGGUGGAUAUAAAUUGUAAACUGUGAAUGUUAUAUGGGAUUUUAGGGGACAUAGAAUGUGAACUGUGAAUGUUUUGGGAGAUUUUAAGAGAUAUAGAAUAUGAACUGUGAAUGUUUUGGGAGAUUUUGGUUGAUAUAACAGGUUUGUCAUUUUGUAUGAAGACAUGAUGAGCCCAAUUUCAUUAUAUUAUAGUGGAUAUACGAAAGAUUCUUACCUCCAGGGAGCGUCUGUGAUAUCAACAUUUCGUCCAACGUCAGAGAAAAUAUAAAAAAACAACUGGAUCCGCCAUACGAAGAUCUGUUAGAUGACGUAGAUGAUCUUGUGUUGACGUGCCUCAAAGAACCAUGGGAUAGUCUUUGCCGUGAUGAACGAAAAGAAUACGAAAUGAUACCAAAGAGUGACCAGUUGCGUUACAUUACGGUGAAGUUGAACGACAAAAUUUUACGACGAAAAAUAUCUUUGUUAUCGAACGAAAACUGACUUUAGUCUUUAAGAUGGAAUUUCGUUGUAGCAGAGGAGACGCCAUUCACUGACACGUAUUGAUACCUGUUUGACAAAUAUGAGUUGAACCAUUUGAUGGAAUCAGUACUAAGACCACAGGCUUUAAGUUUACCCAAAAGUAGUUUAUGAUUCACCAUAUCAAAUGCUUUUUUAAAAUCACCAAACAGCAAGCCACUAGGAUUGUCAUUAUCAAGAUCAGAUAAUAUCUGAUCAACAAUUUUAAUAAGAGCCGUUUCAGUAGAAUAGCCAUUCCUAAAGCCAGAUUGAAGAACAUAAAACAUGUCGUUGGCUUAAAAUUCGCGAAGCAAACAAUUAUAGAGAUGACGUUCAAGAACUUUGGAAAUUAUCGAUAGCGUAGAAAUAGGUCGAUAAUUAUCUGGAUCUGUAGAAUUUCCAUUUUUAAACAGGGGAAAAACUUUGGCUGUUUUCCAUGACUGUGGAAAUUGACACGAAGUAAUACAAUGAUUGAAAAGCUUUGACAACGACGAUGAAAUAAUUGGGGCAGCAGUCUUCAAGAUCUUUACACUAAUAUUGUCUGGACCAUUUGCUUUUGAUGAGGGAAUAUCUUGAAUUAUUUGAAUAACCUGCUCAGCACUUAUUUCAGGAAUAUCUAAACUCAAAUUGCCAAAAGAUAAAAAAUCGUUAUCAUUUAUAACAGUGGUAUCAUCUAAAAGAUUAGAAGCCACAUUUGCAAAGUGCAGAUUAAACGCUUCAGCAAUUUUUUUGUUAUGAUGGAAAAGAGACCCAUUAAAUAACAAUUCUUUCACUUGAACGGGAUCAUUUGUAUCACCAGAAAGAGAUUUGAGUAUUUUCCAAAGCUUCUUAGGAUUUUUACGAUUUUCAAUAAGAGAUGACUUGAAAUAGACUUGUUUGGCUUUAAA